rnacentral:lncRNA from 1 species
UAGUUAUGGUGAGAACGCUGGAGGAUGAACACGGYACCCCCGGGCUUGCACAGCGUGGCUCUUCGCCAUGGACACAUGGAGCUGAACCUGGUUAUACGGAGGUGGAUAAUCAUCCAACGGCCUCACAGACUCAACCUGCCAGCAGCAGCUGGCCCUGGCUGCUCCGCUCCGGUUUAUUGGUUGAAGAGAUUCAUUGUCUUCGUGGCAUCCAUCAUGUAAAUCCAAUGUGUAUGCUUGACUACCCUCAACAGCACUGGCAAUAAACAGCAGUCCCUGUGUCACGUUGCUCUUUAUGCUUUUCUCC